UACAGAGGUCCCAAGCGUUGUUCGGAUUCACUGGGCGUAAAGGGUGCGUAGGUGGCCGGUUAAGUCUGACGUGAAAUCUCCGAGCCUAACUCGGAAACUGCGUCGGAAACUAUCCGGCUCGAGGGUUGGAGGGGGGACUGGAAUACUUGGUGUAGCAGUGAAAUGCGUAGAUAUCAAGUGGAACACCAGUGGCGAAGGCGAGUCCCUGGACAACUCCUGACACUGAGGCACGAAAGCUAGGGGAGCAAACAGG
rnacentral:rRNA from 1 species